AAUGAUAUAUUUGAAAAAUCUAAAAAAUUGAAACAAAGUAUUAGGGAUAUAGCAGCUGAUAAUGUUCAAAAAGCUUCAAUAGAAACGGAAAAAUACAUUAAAUUAACAAAUGACGCUAUUGAUGAAGUUAAAAAUGCAGCAACGAAAGCAAACAUGUAUAAAGAACAAAUAAAAGCUAAAGAUUCUAUAAACGAAGCUGCACGUGCUGCUAAAUCAUAUAAUGAAGCAUCCGAUGCCUUGAAACGUGCUACUGAAGCAGCAGAACAGAUGAAAAAUUUGUUAGAAUUAUCAAAUGAUGCUGAUUCAAAAAAAAAUAUCAGCAAAAACUAUGCAAAAUUAUGAAAAAGUAAAAUCGGAUAUAAUAGAAGCAGAGAAAAUAGCUAAAAAGGCAUAUGAUGAUGCAUAUGAAAUUAGAAACAUAGUACAAAAUAAUGCUAAAGAAAAAGUGAAUCUUGUUUACCAACAUACGUUAGUGGCAAAAAAGGCCGAAAAUGACGCUAUAUUAGCAGUGGGUGCUAUUAAAGUUGAAACGAAACCGGCAGAAGCAUAUAAACAUGUAAAAAAAGUUGAGGAAGCCGCCAAGAUUGCUGAUGCAGCUGCAAAGGAAGCAGAACAGAAUGCGAAUAGUGCAGAAAUAGAUGCUUAUGAUUCAAACAGCGAAAAAGCAACAGAAGAUGCAUUAACAGCAAGAAAUCAUGCAUCAGAAGCUAAAAAAGCAGCAGAAAAUGCAAAUGAAUUAGUUAACAUUGCAAAAAGUGUGGCAAAUAAUAUAAAAUUAAAAGCAAUUCAAAAAGUUAAACAAGUUGUAGAAAAAUCAGAUGAACAUAAUAAAAAAGCAUUAGAAGCUAUUGAAAAAGUUAUAGCUGCAUACGAACGAGCAAAUAUACCUAUAGCAGUAUAUAAUAUUAAAAUUGUAAUGGAAGCAGUGACGGAAGCAACUAAAGCAUAUAAAAUGGCAUCGGAAGAAUUCAUGGACGCACUUAAAGAGAAAGAUAAUAUUAAAACUUUAAAGGAUAUAUCUAACGAUGAAGAAUCAACAAAAAUUGCUGAUAAAGCAUUAAAUAACUUUGAAGAAGUUAAUUAUAAACUAAAAAAUGCAGAAGACGCAGUGAAAAAGAUGAAUAAUAUUGUGGACAAUUUUAAAAAUAAAGCAACCGAUAAAGCUAUAGAGUUUGCGAAUAAUGUUAAAAUUUAUGCAAACGUGGUAAAAGAAGCCGAAAUUUCAUCUAUAAAUGCAUUGAAUAAUGCUAGCAAAACAAAAAAAGUUAAUAUAGCAUUAAAAGCUGCUACAGAUGCUACAUAUGCUGCUACUGAAGCGAUCGAUGCUGCAAAGAAUGCAUCUGAUUAUGCAAAAUUAUCUAAAUUAGAAGCUAACAAAACAAAGCGUGCU
rnacentral:lncRNA from 1 species